rnacentral:rRNA from 1 species
GACGAACCCUUGCGGCGUGCUUAACACAUGCAAGUCGAACGGAAAGGCCCUGCUUUUGUGGGGUGCUCGAGUGGCGAACGGGUGAGUAACACGUGAGUAACCUGCCCUUGACUUUGGGAUAACUUCAGGAAACUGGGGCUAAUACCGGAUAGGAGCUCCUGCUGCAUGGUGGGGGUUGGAAAGUUUCGGCGGUUGGGGAUGGACUCGCGGCUUAUCAGCUUGUUGGUGGGGUAGUGGCUUACCAAGGCUUUGACGGGUAGCCGGCCUGAGAGGGUGACCGGCCACAUUGGGACUGAGAUACGGCCCAGACUCCUACGGGAGGCAGCAGUGGGGAAUAUUGCACAAUGGGCGGAAGCCUGAUGCAGCAACGCCGCGUGCGGGAUGACGGCCUUCGGGUUGUAAACCGCUUUCGCCUGUGACGAAGCGUGAGUGAUGGUAAUGGGUAAAGAAGCACCGACUAACUACGUGCCAGCAGCCGCGGUGAUACGUAGGGUGCGAGCGUUGUCCGGAUUUAUUGGGCGUAAAGGGCUCGUAGGUGGUUGAUCGCGUCGGAAGUGUAAUCUUGGGGCUUAACCCUGAGCGUGCUUUCGAUGCGGGUUGACUUGAGGAAGGUAGGGGAGAAUGGAAUUCCUGGUGGAGCGGUGGAAUGCGCAGAUAUCAGGAGGAACACCAGUGGCGAAGGCGGUUCUCUGGGCCUUUCCUGACGCUGAGGAGCGAAAGCGUGGGGAGCGAACAGGCUUAGAUACCCUGGUAGUCCACGCUGUAAACGGUGGGUACUAGGUGUGGGGUCCAUUCCACGGGUUCCGUGCCGUAGCUAACGCUUUAAGUACCCCGCCUGGGGAGUACGGCCGCAAGGCUAAAACUCAAAGGAAUUGACGGGGCCCCGCACAAGCGGCGGAGCAUGCGGAUUAAUUCGAUGCAACGCGUAGAACCUUACCUGGGUUUGACAUGGAUCGGGAGUGCUCAGAGAUGGGUGUGCCUCUUUUGGGGUCGGUUCACAGGUGGUGCAUGGCUGUCGUCAGCUCGUGUCGUGAGAUGUUGGGUUAAGUCCCGCAACGAGCGCAACCCUUGUUCACUGUUGCCAGCACGUUAUGGUGGGGACUCAGUGGAGACCGCCGGGGUCAACUCGGAGGAAGGUGGGGAUGACGUCAAGUCAUCAUGCCCCUUAUGUCCAGGGCUUCACGCAUGCUACAAUGGCUGGUACAGAGAGUGGCGAGCCUGUGAGGGUGAGCGAAUCUCGGAAAGCCGGUCUCAGUUCGGAUUGGGGUCUGCAACUCGACCUCAUGAAGUCGGAGUCGCUAGUAAUCGCAGAUCAGCAACGCUGCGGUGAAUACGUUCCCGGGGCU